rnacentral:rRNA from 1 species
GACGAACGCUGGCGGCGUGCUUAACACAUGCAAGUCGAACGGUAAGGCCCUUUCGGGGGUACACGAGUGGCGAACGGGCGAGUAACACGUGGGUGAUCUGCCCUGCACUUUGUGAUAAGUCUGUGAAACUGGGUCUAAUACCGGAUAGGACUACGCGAUGCAUGUCGUGUGGUGGAAAGCUUUUGCGGUGUGGGAUGGGCCCGCGGCCUAUCAGCUUGUUGGUGGGGUGAUGGCCUACCAAGGCGACGACGGGUAGCCGGCCUGAGAGGGUGUCCGGCCACACUGGGCCUGAGAUACGGCCCGGACUCCUCCGGGAGGAAGCGGUGGGGAAUAUUGCACAAUGGGCGCAAGCCUAAUGCAGCGACGCCGCGUGGGGGAUGACGGCCUUCGGGUUGUAAACCCCUUUCAGCACAGACGAAGCGUAAGUGACGGUAUGGGCAGAAGAGACACCGGCCAACUACGU